ACUGAGGCUUGGAAAGGUCUGGCAACUGUGGUUCAAGGCCCAUGGCUGGUAAGAAGUGAGCCUGCGGCUAAACCCUGGGCUGUGUUGGGAGCGUUGGCCUCCUUACUGAGAAGAAGGCACUGCUUAACUCAGAGAGAGGCUGUCUGAUGGCAGAGUCCUGGGCAGGCCACAGGCCUGAAGCAGGAACAGGUUGGAGCAGGGAAGACCCCUCAGGACAUUCC
rnacentral:lncRNA from 10 species